UGGGGAAUAUUGGACAAUGGGCGAAAGCCUGAUCCAGCCAUGCCGCGUGUGUGAAGAAGGUCUUCGGAUUGUAAAGCACUUUAAGUUGGGAGGAAGGGCAUUAACCUAAUACGUUAGUGUUUUGACGUUACCGACAGAAUAAGCACCGGCUAACUCUGUGCCAGAAGCCGCGGUAAUACAGAGGGUGCAAGCGUUAAUCGGAAUUACUGGGCGUAAAGCGCGCGUAGGUGGUUUGUUAAGUUGGAUGUGAAAUCCCCGGGCUCAACCUGGGAACUGCUUUCAAAACUGACUGACUAGAGUAUGGUAGAGGGUGGUGGAAUUUCCUGUGUAGCGGUGAAAUGCGUAGAUAUAGGAAGGAACACCAGUGGCGAAGGCGACCACCUGGACUAAUACUGACACUGAGGUGCGAAAGCGUGGGGAGCAAACA
rnacentral:rRNA from 1 species